rnacentral:lncRNA from 1 species
AGAAUGUCCUUGCCCUCUUUCUGGCUUGAAUGGAAAAUGUGGCCUCCUGGGACUGUCAGUGGUGUGGUCCCCACAUCCUUAGUUGUACACAUAACAUGCUUACCGUGUGCUUGCUUUGAGUCCCUUCUGAGCUCCCAUGCAAUGUAGACUCAUCGGAAUCCCGUGCUCAUGGGAUUUUAUGAACACUAUAUGCAAAUAGGACAGCAAGAAAUGGCAGUAAACGCUUUUAUUGUUGCUAUCUCCUCUGCUCCUGCACAUGCUCCAUGGUAUCGUUGGACUUCACUUACAAAACACAGAUACAAAGACAAAAUUACUAAGAAUUACCAAGAAUUUUAAUUUCAAGAUGGCAACAGAGUAUUAAACCAAAGAUGAAGUCGUUCUGAGUGUGGGGUUUGCGAGAUGGCACAGGUGGCACUCCCAGGAGCUCGUCUUGGCCAGGUCGCACCCUUGAGUCCAUUGGAACCUGAAUCUCACCCUGCUCUGCUAUGCUAUACUGACUCCAGCUGAAUUCAAGGAGUUACAGUUUGAAACUCUCCAGACUCCAGUGGCCAUCCCACUUGUGAUCACUUGCUCUGAGGGAGGACAUCUGCUGUAUCAUGAGGACGCAAAACCAUCCCAUGGAGGGUGCUACAUGCAGAGCAGCUGAGGCCUCCUGCUAGUUGUCAGUGAGGAACCGAGGCUUCUUGCCAAUGGCCAUGUGAGUGAGCCAUCUUGCAAACAGAUCCCCUAACCCCAGUUAAGCCCUUCAGGCAAACUGCAACGUUGUCAAGUCUUAACUGCAACCUCAUGAGAGACCCUAGGCCAUAGCCACCAGCUAAGCUGCUCUUGAAUUCCUGACUCAGAAACUUUGAGAUCAUGAAUCUUUGUUGUAUUAGGCCUCCAACCUUAGGGGUAAUUGGUUAUGCAGCAAUAGAUAACUAAUAUACCAUUAUUUUCAAGCGGGACUAUAAGCUUGGUACAACCCAAACACCAAAGUAUAUCCAAGAGUUUUCUUGGCCAUGUUAGGAAGUCUCAGAAGACCUCAAAAUGAAAAGCAGACAAGCCUCUACUCAUAGAGUGCACAUUAGGCCGAUAUAAUAUUUAGCUUUUCUAGAUGCUUUAUUUUUUAGGCACUGUACAGUAAAACCAGGGCUUCUUUCCUUGCCUUGAUAAAUGGUGAAUGACAUUGGAUGCCACUCUCACCCCCAUAUGCUCACCAAAGGGAGAAGAAUUGCUCACCUGAUUGGUGGGAGUCAUAGCAAAUGAAAUAGGUCCCUGUGCCACAAUUCUGCCAGACUCAGACCUCACUUGUCAUUUGGAGGAGCAAUUUUGAAUCACAUUCUCCACUGUUCCUUGCAGGCCCCCAGCAGUAGUAACCCGCUGCUAUGCGCAGUGAAAAUCAGCUCAAUUAGACAGCCUUGCGCAUGCUUUCCCCCAUCUCUACUUCACUCCCCUUUCUUUUCCCACUAACUUCCUGUGAUCACCUCUUGAGGACCUUGGUGAGAGCACUGGACCAAACCAAGACAGUUGUUCGGUCUGGUGUUUUGGGGUAGGGCAUGCUUUACAAGUUGGUGAGAUUACCAUCCCCUAAAAAGGGAGGAAGCAGAGAUAUCUCUCCCAACUCUUGCUUCUCUUAUUUGGCAGUCUGACCUAUCAGGCAGGCUAAAUGGCCUAGACUAGUUCAGGCCCUAAGGCAAAAAUGUGUUUUUUUCUUGUUGUCCAUGACAUUAUUUUUUUCUUGUCACUUAGGAGAAUGCUUUAGGCUGGCUUUUUCUUACAGUACCAAUGCUAAGUCUCCACCCUGAGUUUGGAAGUUAAUUAGAAGGAAGAGAAGCAGAGGCAUAUGAAGGAACUAGCAACAUAGAGGUGCCUCAAAUGGGGCUGGGGUGAACUGUAACUACACAAAGGCUGGCAUUAAAAAGUACAGCCCCACAUGAAAGACUGGCCCCAUUGUCCUUAGCAGGUGGUCUGGGCUGCUAGUUUGGCUGUUCAGGGAUAGUUUGUGCCCCUAGGCAAGAGGCAAAUGGUAUUGUGGUUAAGGAUGAAAUUGGAUUAUAAGUAAAGGAGAUUUAUUUCGGAAACAGCUGGAAUUGACAGGGCAGGUUAUUGGGGCUGGCUUUAGCAGCUUUGGGGCCCAGCAAUUUUGAAGUAGCUAUUUUAUCUGUUGAUUUUAGCAGUAUUGACAGUGACCAUUGGGUUUAUCAAGAAUGGAGUCAUCUAGGGAAGAGGCACUUGAGAAAGCAGGUAUCUGAUAUUGAUGAGGAUGGAGGUCAAAGGGGUGUUUUUUGUCUACCUGAGAGUACUGAGGAAGCUUCCCUUCUCCGGAGUCUUCUGGUUGUGUGCAGAGAGGGUGUCACUGUUAACUGAGCCAGCAAAGGCUCAUCCCCAGACAGGCUGUUUCUCAAGUAUGGCUAUAGGCCUUGAGGCUUGAAGCUCCUUCAGGUCUCUAUAGCGUGACAUUUUUGAUGGUGAGGCACUGGCCCGAGUUUUCUCCUCCAUCCUGCCCUGAAGCAGGGGUGAAGAACUGUCAGGUUUUUUAGGGUGUAGGGAGGAACCUUUCAUGUCGUGCCCAUGUAAGUCCAGAGAGGUAGAACUUUCUCCCAACACAUUUAAAAGGGAAAUUCUUACCCUCCAUCUUUUUUGGUAUGUGUGGGAGCCUGCAACUCAGACGACUGUAUUUCCUGGUUGCUUAGUACUAAGGCACUGGAGAUCACUGACUGCUCAGCCAUGGCACAACCUCUUGUCUCUUUUGCUCCCUAGCCCCACCCCACCCUGUGAUCAGGUACAGGGGUGAUGUGCUUGAGCUUCAUGUAGUAUCUCUCAGGUCACUAAGGGGGGGAACUUGACAUUUCCCAUGUCUUUGCCUCUAGCUGACCCUUCUGUGCAGAUUAGCUACAUUUAGCAAGAAAGGAGUAGGAAGCCCCUACUUUGGAUAUGGGCCUUGGUUCUCCAGUCUAACCAUUUCUAGAAAUGGAUGCUGAGAAGUGAAAUUUGAGGCUAUUAUAUAAAUACAAACAUAUGUAACAUACUGCAUGUAUAUUCAUAUACAUAUAUAAUUUUUUCUGAUCAAUUUGAAAGUUGCUGACAGGAUGCUACUUUAUUCCUAAACACUAUAAUGCUACAUACAUAUUUAUUAAAAAGAAGCACAUUCUUUUUCAUAACCACAAGAUAAUUAUCAAAAUCAGGAAAGUAAUAUUGAUGCAUUAUAGCUAUAUUCAAAUCCUCAGGGCUUAUUUGUAUUUUUUCCACAUGUAUUAAUAAUAAUUUAAUGGCAACAGAAAAUUCUGCUUUGCUUUCAGUUGCUGUCCCUGUUUAGGCUGCUUUAAUUUAGUACAGUCCCUCAGUCUUUUUUGUCUAUCAUGACAUUGACAACUGUGAAGAAUGCAUGCCCUGGUUAUUUGAUAGAUGGUCACCCAAGUUGGGUUUGUUUGAUGUUUCCUCUUGAUUAGAUUUAGGUUCUGAGAUUUUGGCAAGAAUAUCACAGACAUGAUAUGUUCUUCUCAGUGCAUGAUAUCAGGGGACAUAUGGUAUCUUAUUUGUCUCAUUUCUGGUGAUGGGAAUUUUGAUCACUUGAUUAAGGUGGUGUCUACCCAGUUUCUUCAAUAAUAAAAUUACUAGUUAGUUAGCUAAUAAUUAAUGAGAAUCUUGUGGAAGGGUACCUUAAGAUUACGUAAGUAUCUUGUUACUCCUUAAACUUCCAGCUGCUAGUUUUAGCAUCUGUUGAAGAUUUUUGCCUAAAUCAAUUGUUAUUAUAAUGGUUACCAAAGAGUGACAUUUUAAUUGACCCCUGGAAUUAUUUCUAUGAUUAUUGGUUGGCUUUCUACUGUAAGAAAGAACAUUUCCUUAUCACCUGUUUUCUUAUUUAUUCAUUCAUUUAUCCAUUUAUGUCAUGAAUUUUAUUUUUUUCUGUGAAUUGUAUUUCUUUUUCUGUGAAUUGUAUUUCUUUACUAUGCUUAUUUAUUUUGAUUUGCAAAUUGUCCAGGUUUGUUCAGUCUAAGCCCUUUCAAGCUGGUUCCUGUGUCUGUUUGACAUAUCUACAUCAUUCUUUUAACACGUUCUCACUUUUCUGGCACAACACCGUAUUCUCAAUUCAUCUUGCAUUUUUCCAGAAUCAGCCAUUUCUCAAAAGGGCUUGAUUCCUUUUAGUGGCAAAUGGCAUUUUGAUUGAUUGCUACAGGGUGCCAUUGUUUCUAGGGCCUGUCAGCAGAGAUAGACAGUAGAUGUAUAUACACACAUACACUCAUAUAUGCAAAUUUAUGUGUAUACGUAUGUAAUAUCCAUGUCUAUAUCUGCAGAUAUACCUCAAAGAUAUUGUACAAUAAAGCGAAUAUUACUAUGAAGCAAGUCACGUAAAUUUUUUGGUUUUCUAAUGCAUA